GACGAACGCUGGCGGCGUGCUUAACACAUACAAGUCGAACGGAAAGGCCCUGCUUUUGUGGGGUGCUCGAGUGGCGAACGGGUGAGUAACACGUGAGUAACCUGCCCUUGACUUUGGGAUAACUUCAGGAAACUGGGGCUAAUACCGGAUAGGAGCUCCUGCUGCAUGGUGGGGUUGGAAAGUUUCGGCGGUUGGGGAUGGACUCGCGGCUUAUCAGCUUGUUGGUGGGGUAGUGGCUUACCAAGGCUUUGACGGGUAGCCGGCCUGAGAGGGUGACCGGCCACAUUGGGACUGAGAUACGGCCCAGACUCCUACGGGAGGCAGCAGUGGGGAAUAUUGCACAAUGGGCGGAAGCCUGAUGCAGCAACGCCGCGUGCGGGAUGACGGCCUUCGGGUUGUAAACCGCUUUCGCCUGUGACGAAGCGUGAGUGACGGUAAUGGGUAAAGAAGCACCGGCUAACUACGUG
rnacentral:rRNA from 1 species